GUUAGCGGCGGACGGGUGAGUAACACGUGGAUAACCUACCUAUAAGACUGGGAUAACUUCGGGAAACCGGAGCUAAUACCGGAUAAUAUUUUGAACCGCAUGGUUCAAAAGUGAAAGACGGUCUUGCUGUCACUUAUAGAUGGAUCCGCGCUGCAUUAGCUAGUUGGUAAGGUAACGGCUUACCAAGGCAACGAUGCAUAGCCGACCUGAGAGGGUGAUCGGCCACACUGGAACUGAGACACGGUCCAGACUCCUACGGGAGGCAGCAGUAGGGAAUCUUCCGCAAUGGGCGAAAGCCUGACGGAGCAACGCCGCGUGAGUGAUGAAGGUCUUCGGAUCGUAAAACUCUGUUAUUAGGGAAGAACAUAUGUGUAAGUAACUGUGCACAUCUUGACGGUACCUAAUCAGAAAGCCACGGCUAACUACGUGCCAGCAGCCGCGGUAAUACGUAGGUGGCAAGCGUUAUCCGGAAUUAUUGGGCGUAAAGCGCGCGUAGGCGGUUUUUUAAGUCUGAUGUGAAAGCCCACGGCUCAACCGUGGAGGGUCAUUGGAAACUGGAAAACUUGAGUGCAGAAGAGGAAAGUGGAAUUCCAUGUGUAGCGGUGAAAUGCGCAGAGAUAUGGAGGAACACCAGUGGCGAAGGCGACUUUCUGGUCUGUAACUGACGCUGAUGUGCGAAAGCGUGGGGAUCAAACAGGAUUAGAUACCCUGGUAGUCCACGCCGUAAACGAUGAGUGCUAAGUGUUAGGGGGUUUCCGCCCCUUAGUGCUGCAGCUAACGCAUUAAGCACUCCGCCUGGGGAGUACGACCGCAAGGUUGAAACUCAAAGGAAUUGACGGGGACCCGCACAAGCGGUGGAGCAUGUGGUUUAAUUCGAAGCAACGCGAAGAACCUUACCAAAUCUUGACAUCCUUUGACAACUCUAGAGAUAGAGCUUUCCCCUUCGGGGGACAAAGUGACAGGUGGUGCAUGGUUGUCGUCAGCUCGUGUCGUGAGAUGUUGGGUUAAGUCCCGCAACGAGCGCAACCCUUAAGCUUAGUUGCCAUCAUUAAGUUGGGCACUCUAAGUUGACUGCCGGUGACAAACCGGAGGAAGGUGGGGAUGACGUCAAAUCAUCAUGCCCCUUAUGAUUUGGGCUACACACGUGCUACAAUGGACAAUACAAAGGGCAGCGAAACCGCGAGGUCAAGCAAAUCCCAUAAAGUUGUUCUCAGUUCGGAUUGUAGUCUGCAACUCGACUACAUGAAGCUGGAAUCGCUAGUAAUCGUAGAUCAGCAUGCUACGGUGAAUACGUUCCCGGGUCUUGUACACACCGCCCGUCACACCACGAGAGUUUGUAACACCCGAAGCCGGUGGAGUAACCUUUUAGGAGCUAGCC
rnacentral:rRNA from 1 species